ACUUUAUAAUCUAUUCAGCUCAUGUCCAUAAAAGCAAAUGUUAUAAAAAGAGUAAAAUAUUGUUGUUUUAAGUAACAUAAUCAGUGUAAUUCAGAAAAAAAAAAAACACUAAUCCAAAGGUUUUAAAAAGUUAAAAUAAAAAAAAAAAAAAGAGGCUACAUAAUUUGAGGGUAAUAUCUUGGACACUUGUUUACAUCUUAAGAAUAUUCCUGGCUUAAUGAUUAUAUAAAAUCCAUCUAAAAAUUAACUGUAAAGACACCAAACCCUACCAUUAUUUUAUUAUUUAAAAAAAAAAAUUCUGCAUCCGAAGCAUAAAAAAACCUAACGAAGUACUAAUAAACAAUUUGUUUAUUAUUACAGGCCUCCCUUAAGUAGCAAAUAGUAAUGUCUAUACUUCAGGAUAACAUUUAGGUAUACUCGCGUUGACAUGAAGCUGAAAUGACCCAGUGGGUAAAUGCAGGGAGUUGUUUAAGAAGGCUUUGGCUAAAAAAACCAAAGUGCCACCGGUUUUGAAAGCACAAGUACACCACUAAAUUAACGACAGGCUGCUACGACCAGAGUCUGCCGGGAACAGGCAGGUACCCUGAGAUCACCACCUUUCUCUGAACCCAACUCUCACAACCUAAGAAUCUCUGUACAAAAAGAAAAAUCCACGUAACAGCAAAACAACAGUUACGUUCGUAAAAGAUUCUGAAGAUUUUAUUGACGGAGAGAGAAAAGCAGAGAGAAAAAAAAGACCGAUCCAUCUUUGGGAAAAUAAUGACCUCUCACACUGACACAUGGAAACGUUUUUAAUCAAAGAACGCUACAGUAGAAAUGUACAGUAAGUGCAACGUGAAAACAAAGUCAUCAUUGGUUAACUUAGUGGCUUGAGCCACAGAAACAGCACGUGCCCCCGGUGAUUAUAACUAGCCACGGAGAGACCGUUAUUAAAUUAUGUGGCAGCUGUCCAAUUUAAAACCCCAGGCUCUGCUGCGGCCCGGGCUCAGCCUAGGAGGGAGGUCAGCGCGAGCAAUGAAAUGCAAACUCAUCAACGUCUUGACCUUAAGACGGGGGCAGCCCCGGGGACGUUCCCAUUAGAGCGCGAAGCAUCUCACUCACUCCCAGAUGUGUCUGGCCACGCCCUUCCUAGAGAGCGUCCUCAAAACUUUUGCUCGGGAAGGGAAACUGAGGCACGGAUGAUUACAUGGACUGGUGGAAGGGGCCCAAGAUAAGCAUUGGUCUCCCAGGGCCGGGGACUCCUGUAGUCGUGGCUGGGGUGACCGGGUCCCCAGCGGGAGAAGGCGGCCCGAGAAGCGGGUCCACACGAUCUGGCAGCACCUCCCCUCCCCCUCCCCGCGCCCGCCCCGCCGGGGCCGCCGCCCGGUACCUCUCGAUGACUGAGGCCACCAGCUGCGGCAACUCCUUCAUCUCGAAGGCAGAGUAGGACGCGGACAGUAGGGGCCGCACCGCCACCUCCCAGCCCGGUGUCGAGUCCGCCCCCUCUGCCGGGGCCCCGAGCGUCGGCGCCCCUGCCGCCGCCGCAGUCGCCUCUUCGCCGCCACUCGUCGCCAUCUUUCGUCGUACUACUGCAGCUCCCUCCGGGGGCUUGCCACCGGCUCAGCACCGCCUCCCGGGAGGGGGCGGAAGUGACGCAAUGGGCCGCGUCAGAAGGCGCGACGCAGUCGCCGACCAAAAAGGGUAGCGGGGGGACCGCCUCUCUCUUCUCACAGGGUAGCCGGGCGGCGGAAGGCGCUGCGCAUGCGCACAGUGUAGUGGCUCUUCGAGGGAGCGUGGAAGAGCGUUAACCUCCGCGCCUGCGCCCUGCGAGUUGUUCGUGAAGUUGGGAGCCUUGAGUCAGGUGUUUGGAACGCACGGGAAAGGGAUCGGUCACAGAAAGAAGCAGGAAAAAAAGCAGAAGGGAGCAGAGACACAGAGGAGGCAAGGAACCUCCUAACAGAGCUGUAAUGCUGAAGACAGCCAAGAGGCCUAGAAGGGACCCACUGGCAGAGCCAGCAGUGACAGACAGCAGGGCCAAGAGGAGCCUGUCCUCAGGGGGCUGAGAGGAGGCCUGCAGGGUCGAGAGGAACUGAGAGAGCUGUCCUGCCCUGAAGAAGGAAGACUUUGCCUACAUGCUUCCUGUUCCUGAUCCUGAGUUGUAGCCUCUUGAUCCUGACCCUAAGUUGAACCCUGUUCUUUAAAAAACCAUUUAACUGUAAGUACGGUCUGUGAGUUCUAUGAGAUGUUGCAGCAAUUUGCUGUACUUAAAUGGGGGAGGGAAGAGUGCUGAAGGGAGGAGAGCGGCCAGUGUCAGGGAUGGGGUGGUACAGCAGCUGGAAGAAUGUGGAAAUCUGGAAUAUAUGUGACCUCCGCCCCACAGGAAUUGGCUUUGUGCUGAUUCUUAACAUUUGAAGUUAUUCGUACACCAAUAAAAUCCGAUCUCAGCUACCAAAAAAAAUAAGAGGUUCUGACCCACCAUGAAUCGUCUGUUAUGACUGGAAUUCUGUAUCUAAUUCAUGUACCUGCCCCAGUCAAUAAUUGGUUCCUGCCCAAAGGCUAAGGAAAAAAAAAUCAGUAAAAGCCAAAAAACAUUUUACAUUAUUCCCAACAGUAACUGAGACCUCACUCAGCACUAUUUAGUUGCAAAAUGUUACACCAAAAAGAUCUUGUAUGAUGACAGAAUAAAAAAUAAUGGCAUAGAAAAUAUUGAUGAAUCAUCCUUUUUAACAUGAAACAUUGUAGAGGCCCCCAAAUUAAUCUAAUUAAUGAAGAUAGGGAACCAGAUGGCUCAAGGGAUAUACACAGAAGAGGACGAUGAAAAAGGAAAUAGGUCUUAGAAUUGAGAGAGGAAACACACAGUCUCAGAAGCCAUAGAGGCUGAGCACACCUGGUCAGAAACAAGUCCUGCUUGAAGACUAAGAAAGGUCAAGAACUAUUAAAAAAAGAUUUGACUAUGUCAUUAGCAUUAGAUAUUUUUUAAGCACCAGCUUUGUGGUAACUUUCAAUAAAACAGUAACGAUUAAAACUGAAAUACAGGGAAUUUUAAGAAAAAGCAGAUAAACAUCCCUCCCAUUAGCUUUUUAGAUUCUGGGUAAAUGAAAACUAGAGUCAUGCAAAUUAAACUGUGCAAGCAGAACAGAGAGCAAGCCAAUAGCUGAUGAUGUAGUGGCUUGUACAUAUUUAUAUACAACAGUCAGAAUUCCAGCCAGACUUUUUCAAAACUAGAGCAGAAUUUUUUUAACUUAUAUUUUCCACUUAUUCUCUUCCCCCAGGUCACUUUAAACAAAAUACAACUUGGGUCAGAAUGAGUAGAUGCCUGUUUUUUCUGGAGAUACUUAGUAGAUGUUAAGUCAUUUGUUGAAACCAAUUUGAUAAUUUUAUUAUUAAAGUAGAAUGAUUAUCAUUUUUCUUCCUUCUCUACCGUAAUAUACCAUCAGCAUACGAUCACAGAAAGAUAAACUUUAAAUAGCCUAACCCAACUUUUAAAUUAUUAAAUUCGUAAGUUUCCUUAUUAAGAUACACUUGGUUAAUUUCUGCACUGCUUUUUCCCCCCUCUCGUGCAAAAAAAAAAAGUAGCCUCAAAGUGAUCUCCGUAAGCCACAAAAAAGGACUUCUUAUCAGAGCCGUUCCAUUCAUCACUGACUUUAUUCAGACACCCGAGUGUACCUCUCUCCCCACAGGGCCAGAGAUGGUCUACUCUCUGUACACUUCGUUCUUCACAGUAAACGAAAACCUCAUUGUUCUCUGAAUCCAUGACCAAGGAAAGACUUUUAGGAUUUCCUUAAUUCGUAGCAGAAAACAGCAGCACGGCCAAUGAGCAGUGCUGCAUCCACAAGAUGCCGGUUCCCUACCUCUGCCCUCUUCCUCCCCUUUUUUCAAAGCUUCAAAGGUUAGAUCAGUAGCAUUUAAAAUCUGCUCAUUUAAGAGAAAUACAGUGACCCACAUGUUAAUUUACAUACAGAACUAAAAAUAAAUAUUGGGGUUCUUAAACAAGGACACUUUUCUCUAACUAGGGUAUCAUAAGAUGAUUAGACCAGCCUGUGGAUUAAACGAGAGAGUAUCAGGUACCAUAAAACAGGCAGAUUACCUUCCUUGAAGGUCCAGACAAUUCUGUAGUUUUAAAAUGGCCUCAGCUCUGACACAUCUGAGGUGAAAAGCCUAGGCAAUGGCCAACAAACCAAGACUCUUCAUGCUUGGCUUCUGUAAGUUGAAACAAGGACUGGGUGGCUCAACCUAAUAAAUAAAAGCACGAACUGGAGGCUUAGUUACAAGACAUUUUGACGCCGUGUAUGGAUUCUUCAACUGAUAGUUUGGAGAGAAACGAUGAGAUGCUGGAUCACUCAUCCAACCUCAGCUAAGGAUGGAUCUUAUUUCUUCCCAACAUAAAGCACCAAAUGCCCCUAUGGCAUUGGAGUUUUCAAUACGAGCUCCCUCCCGACUUUGAAGCAGAAGGCAGGGAAACAAGGAUUUGUAAAUAAACCUGGGAAACACAGAAGGCAAACUAAAAAAAUUAGACAGGCCUCAAAAAAGAAAAAUCCAUUGGAGUUCUUAAAAAAAGAGGGAAACAAAAACAUUCAUGGGUGGCCAGAGAGGGAAGGCAGCAACAGCCUUCAGGUUUCAGGGGCAAGUCCAUCAAGAUGGUUUGUGAUUCUCAGCUGAGAGCGUGAGCUCAGUUUACCCACAGAAGAACUCUGCAUCAUGCCCAACCCAGACGGAGUUCUAGGUGAAAGUCCUCUUCUUCACCACUCUCACCACACAUACUCCACCAAAAUGUCCAACUGCAGCCGUAGCUUCUCGUCUGACCCACAACCCCCUUGGCUCUCAGCAAUCUGGCAGUCAGUGUUUGGUCUCUAUCGCCAGGCUUGAUUCAGGAGUUUCACCUGUGCCAGUCUCUUAGUGAUCAUGGUGGCAAAAACCAGGCCGAAGAGGACACUGCUAAUUAAAACGUAGUCGUAAUCAUCCUUCAGGACAUCAAACUGUUUGGAUGGGUAGACUCGAGUUUGGUAAAUGUCCAAACCGUAUGCCACAACC